rnacentral:rRNA from 1 species
GUUAUAUGGUCAAGAAGAGAAGCGCAAACGGUGGAUGCCUUGGCAGUAAGAGGCGAAGAAGGACGUGGAAUCCUGCGAAAAGCUCUGGGGAGUUGGAAACGUGCGUUGAUCCAGAGAUGUCCGAAUGGGGGAACCCAACUUACGUGAGUAGGUUAUCUGUGACUGAAUACAUAGGUUACAGAGGCGAACUCGGGGAACUGAAACAUCUAAGUACCCGAAGGAAAAGAAAUCAAUUGAGAUUCUCUAAGUAGCGGCG